ACAGAUUAUAGCUGAAAGCAUCCUAGGAAAAAAUCUGUUCAGUUCUCCUUUAUUAGAAGCAGAGAGAACUAUCUAAAGAAGGAUUAAAUACUUUCUUGUUUUAUUAUUUUUUCUUCUUCUUUUUAGUUAGUAAGUGAUUAGGGCAGUACUGAAACCCAUCACCCUGGAUUUUUACCUGAUGAUCUUUUCUUUUACAGUGCAGUGGAAAAGGCAGUAGGUUUGUGCUAUGUUCCUUUGAAUUGCAUGAGGUGAAUACUUAAGGAAGAAGGAAGACUGGACUUCCCUGUAAGAGAGUAUAUAGCAAGAGGAAGAACUGCCUGAUGGUUUAACACCCUGGUUUUGGAGUCAGAAGGACCUGAGUACAAACUUAGCACUCUUACUUUCUACCUGUAUGAUGUAGAGCCUCUAAUUCUGCAGCCAUGAACAUCACUAUGGAAAUCCUUAAUACACUUAUUUCAGAGUAAAAGGGAAAGCUUAUUCAGAGCUGUCCCAGGUGCUGAUUCCAGCCCUCACAGUGUUCUCUCUCCAACUGCCUGAGUUUUUUGUCACCCUCUUCGGUCAUACCAAAUAAAACCUUACAAUUUAGAUAUUACUUUGGAAUUACAAAAAUAUCAUUUUAAACCAUAAAUACCUUCUUCAAAAGUAUGACCUUGCUAUUAAUCACUUUCAGUGAAGAGUGAAUUAAUUCAAUCAGGUUGCUUUCACUUAACAAGUAAGUAAGAGCAGUAUGGAGUCUUCAAAUGUGAGUUUUGAAUAACCAAAGAAGAAUCAAAGGAAAAUUUAAUCUAUGAAAUAGUGGAGAAGGCAAAAUAGCGCUGAGAAAGUUCAAGAAGGAUAAUGACUUAAAAAACUGGAUGAGGAAAGUGGUGUGUGGAGACUGCCAAAGACAAAUUUGCCUAGGGUCAGCAAUCCUCUAUUUAGCAAAAUUGGAGGUUAUUCUCCUCUUUCUCUUCUUGCACCACAUUACUAGAUCA
rnacentral:lncRNA from 1 species